rnacentral:rRNA from 1 species
UACGUAGGGACCAAGCGUUGUUCGGAUUUACUGGGCGUAAAGGGCGCGUAGGCGGCUUACCAAGUCAGGCGUGAAAUUCCCGGGCUCAACCUGGGGGCUGCGCUUGAUACUGGUGAGCUUGAAUGCGGGAGAGGAUAGUGGAAUUCCCAGUGUAGAGGUGAAAUUCGUAGAUAUUGGGAAGAACACCGGUGGCGAAGGCGGCUAUCUGGCCCGUAAUUGACGCUGAGGCGCGAAAGCGUGGGGAGCAAACAGG